UACGUAGGGUGCAAGCGUUUGUCCGGAAUUAUUGGGCGUAAAGAGCUCGUAGGCGGUCUGUCACGUCGGCUGUGAAAACUCGGGGCUCAACCCCGAGCCUGCAGUCGAUACGGGCAGACUAGAGUCCGGCAGGGGAGACUGGAAUUCCUGGUGUAGCGGUGAAAUGCGCAGAUAUCAGGAGGAACACCGGUGGCGAAGGCGGGUCUCUGGGCCGAUACUGACGCUGAGGAGCGAAAGCGUGGGGAGCGAACAGG
rnacentral:rRNA from 1 species